AUUUCAACAACGGAUCUGUUGGUUCCGGCAUCGAUGAAGAACGCAGCGAAAUGCGAUAAGUAAUGAGAAUUGCAGAAUUCAGUGAAUCAUGGAAUCUUUGAACGCACAUUGCGCCCCUCGGUAUUCCGGGGGGCUUCCCUGUCCGAGAGUCA
rnacentral:rRNA from 1 species